rnacentral:rRNA from 1 species
CUAAGCACACUGUUGGUUAUGUGUGCCCAAGCAUUGAGGCAGUCAAAGUAGGCAAAUCCGCUUUGAUAAUGCUGGGAUGUGAUGGGGAGCGAAAUUUAGUAGCGAAGUAGCUGAUUUCACACUGUCAAGAAAAGUCUCUAUCGAGGUUAAAGGUACCCGUACCGCAAACCGACACAGGUGGGUGAGGAGAGUAUCCUAAGGCCAGCGAGAGAACUGUUGUUAAGGAACUCGGCAAAAUGACCCCGUAACUUAGGGAUAAGGGGUGCCACCAUCAGGUGGCCGCAGAGAAUAGGCCCAAGCGACUGUUUACCAAAAACAUAGGUUUCUGCUAAGUCGCAAGACGAUGUAUAGGAGCUGACGCCUGCCCGGUGCUGGAAGGUUAAGGGGAUCUGUUAGAGCAAUCGAAGCAGUGAACUUAAGCCCCAGUAAACGGCGGCCGUAACUAUAACGGUCCUAAGGUAGCGAAAUUCCUUGUCGGGUAAGUUCCGACCCGCACGAAAGGCGUAACGAUUUGGGCACUGUCUCAACAACAGACUCGGUGAAAUUGUAAUUCCGGUGAAGAUGCCGGAUACCUGCGACAGGACGGAAAGACCCCAUGGAGCUUUACUGUAGCUUGACAUUGGGUCUUGGUACUACAUGUACAGGAUAGGUGGGAGGCUUUGAAACCAGGACGCCAGUUUUGGCGGAGCCAUCCUUGGGAUACCACCCUUGUAGUACUGGGACUCUAACCAUAGGCCAUGAAUCUGGUCUUGGGACACUGUCAGGUGGGCAGUUUGACUGGGGCGGUCGCCUCCCAAAAGGUAACGGAGGCGCUCAAAGGUUCUCUCAGUACGGUCGGAAAUCGUACGUAGAGUGUAAAGGCAAAAGAGAGCUUGAUUGCAAGACAUACAGGUCGAGCAAGGAUGAAAAUCGGACUUAGUGAUCCGGUGGUUCUGCGUGGAAGGGCCAUCGCUCAACGGAUAAAAGCUACCCUGGGGAUAACAGGCUUAUCUCCCCCAAGAGUCCACAUCGACGGGGAGGUUUGGCACCUCGAUGUCGGCUCAUCACAUCCUGGGGCUGUAGUAGGUCCCAAGGGUUGGGCUGUUCGCCCAUUAAAGUGGUACGCGAGCUGGGUUCAGAACGUCGUGAGACAGUUCGGUCCCUAUCCGUCGCAGGCGUAGGAAAUUUGAGAAGACCUGUCCUUAGUACGAGAGGACCGGGAUGGACG